rnacentral:lncRNA from 1 species
GAGGACCUGCGCUCGCGGGGGCUGCUGCGCUCUGCGCUGGGGCCUCUCGGGCUGGGAAUGCGUGGCCCGGCUUUUGAGGAUUUCCUCGGUCCCCGGGCGGAAAUAGCUGGAAUGGAGGGGCCUCUCGAUUGGAGACUUACUGGUCAAAUAUUUACUUUUGUUGAUCACUGGAAACGCUACCUACCACGCAUUGACUAGGACCACAGUGAGGAGGGAACGCUUUAGAUGAUAGAGUUUUGUUUGGGGGCUUUUUUUUGUUUUGUUUUAUUCCAGGAAUUCAGGAAAUUGCCCCAGAAGUCCGAUUUCUGAUGUGUAAAACCUUUUUUUACAGAAAACCACGACUUCCUGGAAAAGUCUUCACCGUAAAUAUUAAUCUCUUUGGCAUGAAGAGGAAAACACUGCAGCUAAUUUUUCAUGGGAUAACAAAAAUAUAAACUGCAAUUUCUUUUAUUUUUUCCCUUUCGAUGGUCUUUUUAAACGAGGAGUAAAGAUUUCAACGCCAGGUCCAUUUUCCAAAUUUUGUACCAGAACCUUGAGGAUGCUUGUCUCUCGCGCGCUUCUCCGCAGACCGAACCCUCUCCGGAACUCAGAGCUGUUCACCCAAGUCAGCGGAGGAGGCCUCCUGGGACUUGAGCCUGAGGGUGGCGAAGAACCCUAGGCAGAGAUCAUCAACUUGGUACCGAUGAGUGACGCGGAGCUUGAACAUUCCAGCGACUUGCUCCAGGGCCACUCCCAGUUAAGAGGCUGAGUGUUAACUGCAAGAGGCUGAGUGUUAACUACGCCGUUGGCUCCAGGAACCGAACCGGGUUUGGAUACAGACCCAGUCACACCAUCCAUGAAAAGCUGUUUCUAUAAUAUGAAAAAUUGUUAAAUGACGCUUUAGUAAAAGCCAUUUAAAGAUCUUUUCUAAUAAAUUUUUCAUCUUUCCAAACA